UCUACUAUUCGUUUCUCUACAAUUUCAACCCUUUUUAUCUAACUAGAUCGAGUUGAUUUGAACCUACAUCUCUUCCAUUCCAAAUUUCUAAGAGACUGAAAACUAUAAUACCAAUAGGCAAUAUUGUAAUUCUCACAAAAUAAAAUUUUCAAUUAAUUCAAGAAAAAGCCAUAGUGCCCCAUACAUACUAGAUGGAGGAGGAACACCCAAUAUUAUUUUAUCACAAACUUCACCGGUCAACUAUUGUUCAUAAAAUAACAACAAAAACACACAAACGAAGGUGGCUAGAUGAGUUUCUAUAACUCAUGCAAGCAGAGAACCCUAUCCUUAUCAAGUGGCCUUGAGAUGGUGUGCCUCAACAUCUUUUGCAAGUUUAAUGCAAAAGCUCAACAAUGAGAGUGGUUCUUGAACAUCAUCAUUUAGCUUUUCGUACUCAAGAUUCCAUGUCACCAAAUCAAUGCCACCAUGAGUUUCAACAUGUAAACCUCCUUUGAAGGCCCUGUACAACUUCAUCAGAUCACCCUCGACGACCUUAAAUGUAAGUGACCUCUUUUCCUCAUCUAUGCUUUCGAUUACGGCUUUUGCUACUUCCUGCUUCCCAUCUACAAUUAUUUCAAAUUUUACAAACAUCGUACAAGAAAAAGCCAGAUAAUCACAUUAUCCAACGUUCAAUAGGGUAAAUUAGAUAGUAUUGGGCAAUUUAAAAUAUAGUCUAAUGUUUUAUACUAAACAACGUUGGCUUACCAUGAGUGUACCUCCAGAAGUAGACAGAACCUACAUUUCCCCACUCUCCUUCAUGCAAAUCGCAGCCUUGAAUGUUAGUAGGACUGAUAUUGGGUAAUUGUUGUGGUUUGUACCUAAAGAGUUCGUGAAAUACAUCUCCACCAACCUUCGUCUCCAUUUGGGAUGUUAAUUUACCUUUAAGACCCAUUUUUCUUUGCAAAGAAGGCACUAAGAAGUUUGAUGGAAGAUGGGAAGAACUCACACGACUUACUGAUCUAUUUAUAGUUGUAUUGUGAGGGUGAAUAGUCU
rnacentral:lncRNA from 1 species